rnacentral:rRNA from 1 species
CUUAGUACGGCGAGUGAAGCGGCAAAAGCUCAAAUUUGAAAUCUGGUACCUUCGGUGCCCGAGUUGUAAUUUGGAGAGGGCAACUUUGGGGCCGUUCCUUGUCUAUGUUCCUUGGAACAGGACGUCAUAGAGGGUGAGAAUCCCGUGUGGCGAGGAGUGCGGUUCUUUGUAAAGUGCCUUCGAAGAGUCGAGUUGUUUGGGAAUGCAGCUCUAAGUGGGUGGUAAAUUCCAUCUAAAGCUAAAUAUUGGCGAGAGACCGAUAGCGAACAAGUACAGUGAUGGAAAGAUGAAAAGAACUUUGAAAAGAGAGUGAAAAAGUACGUGAAAUUGUUGAAAGGGAAGGGCAUUUGAUCAGACAUGGUGUUUUGUGCCCUCUGCUCCUUGUGGGUAGGGGAAUCUCGCAUUUCACUGGGCCAGCAUCAGUUUUGGUGGCAGGAUAAAUCCAUAGGAAUGUAGCUUGCCUCGGUAAGUAUUAUAGCCUGUGGGAAUACUGCCAGCUGGGACUGAGGACUGCGACGUAAGUCAAGGAUGCUGGCAUAAUGGUUAUAUGCCGCCCGUCUUGAACAACGGACCAAAA